rnacentral:lncRNA from 1 species
UUCAAACCUCCAUAACCACCGCCACACUCCACUCCAACCGACGGGACCGGACCCAAUCGAACCACCGCCGCUUCCUCUUCCUUUCCCGACCGGUCCCUGCCCUUGGAACCGCUGUUUUUCGCCGAAAAAAUCUCGGAAUCGCGCCGGAGUUGACAGAACUUUCAAGCUUUUGUUCUCCUUCAUCCGGCCACCAAAUCGGACGAGUGAGGUAUGGUUUUCUAGCUAUUUUCCAUGCUCUAGCUGCUGGUUGGGUAGGAUUCCAGAAAUUCCAAGCAUAGAUCGUUCGAUUUUCCAAUCUAGGUUUCAGCUGAUUUUGAAAGUGUGAUUCCGGCCAUUUCCGGCCACUUUUUGGGAUAGGUCCAAGAACAAAAGUGGUUCCAAAAUGGGUGUUUUACCUAAGUUAGGAGUUUGGGCCGGCGGUUUGGAGUUUCUGACCGCCAGGAAUUUCUCAAGCCACCCACGCGUUGCCGCGCAUGUGGCGGCGCGUGGGCAGUUUGGUGGGGACCACACUCAGUCCUAAAAUGAUCCUUGUGUUGUCACGAGCGCGUAGGAAUUUGCGAAUCUUAAUUUGGAUAAUGUUUGAACCCUGAACGGAUUUCGCAUCUUGUGUGAUUUCCGGGUUCAAUGGGUUUGAACCUUUGUUCGUGUGUUUGUGACCAAACCAACUGUCCGUUUGAGACCAAACUGUUGGGACUUGUGUCCUAGGUUUAACGGAAUGUUAAUGUGGGCAUAGGAGUAACUUUAAUUGGAUGCACGCACUUCUAGGAGUUGGGGGUUAGGGUUUUAUUUAAAUAUUUAUAUAGAGCAAUUUUAUUAAUAUAUAUUAUUAUGAUAAUUGAAUCAGGCACCCGGGCACCAGUUGACCCGCAGGAGGGACCUUCAAGAAGUCCAGCGAGCUCGGACCAGUUGUGAGUGGACUUUUCUUUUAUAAAUGAUUUUAUGCCAAUGAGUUUCAUUAUUUGAUCUUGAAUAAGUUUUAUUGAUUAUGAUUUUCCUAGCAUGAUUUGUUGAAGUUAAAUAUCUUUAUUUAUAUGCUGCCUAGUUGAAAAUGCUAAAAAGAUAUGAAAAGUAAAGAUUGAGAUAUAUAUCAGAUAAAAUGGCAGCAGAGUUCUAGAUUUAACAAAAAUUCAGUUAUUCAUCAGACCUUUCAGAAAUUUUAUAUUUUCUUAAGCCACCUUAGGGACCCAGUUAUAGAAACAGGUUGCCUUCGGUCUAUGUUGCCUUCAGAUAUGACGAUGUCCAGGGACAUCCAGGUUGCCUUCAGUUCUGUCAGCACGCUUGACAUCUGCCUCAUGAGUUUCGAGGACGCCCGGACCGUGGGAGCCAGGAAUGCGGAUCAGGCUAACUACGGUCCCCUGAAUCCUGCCAGUUUGCGGCUCGGGUUGACUUUGUGUCACCGAGACCUACCAGGGAAAUUGACGAAUUAUCAGGAAUUGACGGAUAUCAGGAAUUGACAGAAUUUAAGGGGUACACCUAGGUGGUAGUUUUAAACUGAUUUCAGUGCUUUUAAGAGUUUAAAAAUGAUAUGAGUAUGCUUGACAUAUACUUAUAUAUAUAUAUAUAUGUAUAUGAGUGCAUUGAUUUCAGUAUUUAUAUGAUUAAAAGAAUGAAUUAGUUUUGUAUAACUGUUUUUAUAGUGGGGUUAGUAUGUCCUUAUGCUAUUUUUCUUAAAACUUUGUUUUUGGGUCCACUUACCUUUUAAAUGUUUUGCGCCCCCAGGCCGUAGACGUGCAUCUGAAAGCCACCACAGGGCAGUUUCCGCUUCUUGCAUCUCGUAAGCUUAGUGUAGGGUCCUUGACCCUCCAAAUGUUGUUCUUAUAAAUUAACCUGUAUAGAUGCUCUGAUAUUGCCCCUGGGCUCAAACUUUACUGUUGAUUGUAUAUAUUUGCAUGUUGGAAGUUGGGUUGUAUAUAUAUGCUUGUCUUGACAGGUGAAAUUUUUGGGAUUGGACAAAUUACAGGGGAGACUCUGCCGAAUUUUCGGUAAAAGUCAAGGCUAAAAUGAAAUUAAGUUUGUAACCAGAAGGGCAACCAGGUCAUUUGUGCUCGGCACUUGCCAGGUGUCGAUCACGAACAGGGUUCAGCUUGGAUUCCAAAGGAGAAUUUGGGUCGGAUUUUGUCAGGAAAGAGAUAUCGACAUUGGAGUCAAUACAACAUAAGUGAAACCCUAAAUUUUCAAGCUGUGGGGGAUCUCAUUUCUUUUUUUUUUCUUUUUUUUUUUGGGUCAAAUAACUUGGGGUGUACUUGGGCAGUGGAGUUAUGAGUUUUGUGGUUCAAGAAACGUUACAAAAUUAACCACUCUCUUGUAUUUUGUGUGUAUCGCUCACGUAUCUAGCCAUUUCCCUUGCACACCCCCUUCGCUCACAUAUUGUACGUACCUAAGCAUAUGCCAAAUAUCCACGUAUAUAACCCUGUG